UGACUCUCGGCAACGGAUAUCUCGGCUCUUGCAUCGAUGAAGAACGUAGCGAAAUGCGAUACCUGGUGUGAAUUGCAGAAUCCCGUGAACCAUCGAGUCUUUGAACGCAAGUUGCGCCCGAGGCCAUCCGGCCAAGGGCACGCCUGCCUGGGCGUCACGC
rnacentral:rRNA from 1 species